GUGGGGAAUAUUGCGCAAUGGGGGAAACCCUGACGCAGCGACGCCGUGUGAGGGAAGAAGGCUUUCGGGUCGUAAACCUCUGUCAGAAAGGAAGAACCUCCCAAGUCCGAAUAGGGCUUGGGACUGACGGUACUUUCAAAGGAAGCACCGGCUAACUCCGUGCCAGCAGCCGCGGUAAUACGGAGGGUGCAAGCGUUAAUCGGAAUCACUGGGCGUAAAGCGCGCGUAGGCCGCUUUGUAAGUCGGACGUGAAAGCCCUCGGCUCAACCGGGGAACUGCGUUGGAUACUGCGAGGCUUGAGUCCUGGAGAGGGUGGCGGAAUUCCGGGUGUAGGAGUGAAAUCCGUAGAUAUCCGGAGGAACACCGGUGGCGAAGGCGGCCACCUGGACAGGUACUGACGUUGAGGCGCGAAAGCGUGGGGAGCAAACAGGAUUAGAUACCCUUGUAGUCC
rnacentral:rRNA from 1 species